GCAGAAACAUACUUUAUCAAAAGCAGAACCAGAGCAAAUGUGGGAUGCGCUUUUUAAAACGGUUGCUGGUGACUGAACUGCAGAAAGCAAAAUCACAGACGAGGGGGACUACUAUAAAUUCAUACUGGUUGAAUAAAUAUUGGAGGCAUGUUGCAUGGAUGUGACUCUUGACUGCUCUGAGGUUACUUUCUUAAAGCUUUUAAUUCAAAGUUAAAGAAGAAUUUUUU